GACGAACGCUGGCGGCGUGCUUAACACAUGCAAGUCGAACGGAAAGGCCCCUUUGGGGGUACUCGAGUGGCGAACGGGUGAGUAACACGUGAGUAACCUGCCCUUGACUUCGGGAUAACUUCAGGAAACUGGGGCUAAUACCGGAUAGGAAUCCUUGCUGCAUGGUGGGGGUUGGAAAGCUUCGGCGGUUUUGGAUGGACUCGCGGCUUAUCAGCUUGUUGGUGGGGUAGUGGCUUACCAAGGCUUUGACGGGUAGCCGGCCUGAGAGGGCGACCGGCCACAUUGGGACUGAGAUACGGCCCAGACUCCUACGGGAGGCAGCAGUGCGGAAUAUUGCACAAUGGGCGGAAGCCUGAUGCAGCAACGCCGCGUGCGGGAUGACGGCCUUCGGGUUGUAAACCGCUUUCAGCAGGGGCGAAGCUUGUGGUGACGGUACCUGCAGAAGAAGCACCGGCUAACUACGUG
rnacentral:rRNA from 1 species